CGGAGGGUGCAAGCGUUAAUCGGAAUUACUGGGCGUAAAGCGCACGCAGGCGGUCUGUCAAGUCGGAUGUGAAAUCCCCGGGCUCAACCUGGGAACUGCAUUCGAAACUGGCAGGCUUGAGUCUUGUAGAGGGGGGUAGAAUUCCAGGUGUAGCGGUGAAAUGCGUAGAGAUCUGGAGGAAUACCGGUGGCGAAGGCGGCCCCCUGGACAAAGACUGACGCUCAGGUGCGAAAGCGUGGGGAGCAAACAGGAUUAGAUACCCUGGUAGUCCACGCCGUAAACGAUGUCUACUUGGAGGUUGUGCCCUUGAGGCGUGGCUUCCGGAGCUAACGCGUUAAGUAGACCGCCUGGGGAGUACGGCCGCAAGGUUAAAACUCAAAUGAAUUGACGGGGGCCCGCACAAGCGGUGGAGCAUGUGGUUUAAUUCGAUGCAACGCGAAGAACCUUACCUGGUCUUGACAUCCACGGAAGUUUUCAGAGAUGAGAAUGUGCCUUCGGGAACCGUGAGACAGGUGCUGCAU
rnacentral:rRNA from 1 species